UCCGGUUGAUCCUGCCAGAGGUUACUGCUAUCGAGGUUCGACUAAGCCAUGCGAGUCGAAUGUAGCAAUACAUGGCGAACUGCUCAGUAACACGUGGACAACCUGCCCUUAGGUUGGGUAUAAACCCGGGAAACUGGGUAUAAUACCCGAUAGGUCUCGAUUGCUGGAAUGCAUCGAGAUUUAAAGCUCCGGCGCCUAAGGAUGGGUCUGCGGCCUAUCAGGUAGUAGUGGGUGUAGCGUACCUACUAGCCUACGACGGGUACGGGUUGUGAGAGCAAGAGCCCGGAGAUGGAUUCUGAGACACGAAUCCAGGCCCUACGGGGUGCAGCAGGCGCGAAAACUUUACAAUGCUGGCAACAGCGAUAAGGGAACCUCGAGUGCCAGGUUACAAAUCUGGCUGUCGAGAUGCCUAAAAAGCAUUUCAUAGCAAGGGCCGGGCAAGACCGGUGCCAGCCGCCGCGGUAACACCGGCGGCUCGAGUGGUAACCGUUAUUAUUGGGUCUAAAGGGUCUGUAGCCGGCCGGAUAAGUCUCUUGAGAAAUCUGGCAGCUUAACUGUCAGGCUUUCAGGAGCUACUGUCUGGCUCGAGGCCGGGAGAGGUGAGAGGUACUUCAGGGGUAGGGGUGAAAUCUUGUAAUCCUUGAAGGACCACCAGUGGCGAAGGCGUCUCACCAGAACGGACCUGACGGCAAGGGACGAAAGCUGGGGGAGCAAACCGGAUUAGAUACCCGGGUAGUCCUAGCCGUAAACGAUACUCGCUAGGUGUCGGCCACGGUGCGACCGUUGUCGGUGCCGUAGGGAAGCCGUGAAGCGAGCCACCUGGGAAGUACGGCCGCAAGGCUGAAACUUAAAGGAAUUGGCGGGGGAGCACCACAACGGGUGGAGCUUGCGGUUUAAUUGGAUUCAACGCCGGAAAUCUUACCGGGACCGACAGCAUUAUGAAGGCCAGGCUGAAGACUUUGCCGGAUUAGCUGAGAGGUGGUGCAUGGCCGUCGUCAGUUCGUACUGUGAAGCAUCCUGUUAAGUCAGGUAACGAGCGAGACCC
rnacentral:rRNA from 1 species